rnacentral:rRNA from 1 species
AGUGAACGCUGGCGGUAGGCCUAACACAUGCAAGUCGAACGGCAGCACAGUAAGAGCUUGCUCUUACAGGUGGCGAGUGGCGGACGGGUGAGGAAUACAUCGGAAUCUACUUUUUCGUGGGGGAUAACGUAGGGAAACUUACGCUAAUACCGCAUACGACCUACGGGUGGAAGCAGGGGAUCUUCGGACCUUGCGCGAUUGAAUGAGCCGAUGUCGGAUUAGCUAGUUGGCGGGGUAAAGGCCCACCAAGGCGACGAUCCGUAGCUGGUCUGAGAGGAUGAUCAGCCACACUGGAACUGAGACACGGUCCAGACUCCUACGGGAGGCAGCAGUGGGGAAUAUUGGACAAUGGGCGCAAGCCUGAUCCAGCCAUACCGCGUGGGUGAAGAAGGCCUUCGGGUUGUAAAGCCCUUUUGUUGGGAAAGAAAAGCAGCAGGUUAAUACCCCGCUGUUCUGACGGUACCCAAAGAAUAAGCACCGGCUAACUUCGUG